GGAGAGAUGUAGUCCACAACAUCUGGAGUGACAAACGUUGCAUACUCCUGCACUAGACCCUUAAUCUUACAAAAUAAGCAAGUAACUCUAUGGCACAAUACAACAAAUGCAGAGACACAACAGGGCAGGUCCUAAUGCAAGUCAAAGUGUUUAUCAAGUUCGUAGUGUCUUUUUAUAAAUACACUUUAAGCCGAAGGUAAUGCCCAUUUUAUUUUAAUGCAUUAAAAUGUUAAUGUUUAAAAUAUAUAUGCAAAAAAUAAAAUAGCUACCCAUGUUUGAUUCUUCUGCAGCUGCUGCAUUUGUACUUCUGACCAGACCAGGGAGAGGUUCCACUACUCAGAUGCCUAUCAUUCUAGUCUACAGGCUGGCAACCUCAUAAACAUAAAUGUCCAGCAGAUAUUUAUAGAAGGUUUAAGUUCAGCGUGAUAUUGCGCUUCAGGCUUUUUCAUAGAAUUGACAUUAGCCAGUACAGAACUCUUGUUCCAGACUGGUUGAUAGCACCCCGUGAUGUUGUCAGAGAGCGAGUUAAACUCACAGUGCUUUCAAAAUGCUAGACAUGUAGAUUCCAGGCACCAUGAUCACUUCAAAUAAAUGAAGAGGUUAAGGUGCUUGGAGUAACCCUUUAAUUCUGAAUUUCACAAUAUUCUUCUGCAGCAUUCACCCAAAAAAUUGC